rnacentral:misc_RNA from 1 species
AACAUCGCGCACCUGCGGGAACCUGCGGAAGGAUCGUUACAGAGUUGCAAAACUCCCUAAACCAUUGUGAACGUUACCUAAACCGUUGCUUCGGCGGGCGGCCCGGGUCCUUCCCGGCGCCCAUCGGCCCUCGCGGGCGCCCGCCGGAGGUAAACCAAACUAUUGCAUUGUAUGGCCUCUCUGAGUCUUCUGUACUGAAUAAGUCAAAACUUUUAACAACGGAUCUCAGAUCGGAAGAGC